CUACGCGUACUCGAAGUUUUGAUCCUGGCUCAGGAUUAACGCUGGCGGCGUGCAUAACACAUUCAAGUCGAACGGAGUAUAGAAAUAUACUUAGUGGCGGACGGGUGAGUAACGCGUGAGCAAUCUACCUCCAGGUGAGGGACAACAACCGGAAACAGUUGCUAAUACCUCAUGACAUACCGACUUCGCAUGGAGAUGGUAUCAAAGGCUUGCUGCCUGGAGAUGAGCUUGCGUCUGAUUAGCUAGUUGGUGAGGUAACGGCCCACCAAGGCGACGAUCGGUAGCCGGACUGAGAGGUUGAACGGCCACAUUGGAACUGAGAUACGGUCCAG
rnacentral:rRNA from 1 species